rnacentral:rRNA from 1 species
AGUGAAGAAUAUGACGGUAACUUAUGAAUAAGCACCGGCUAACUACGUGCCAGCAGCCGCGGUCAUACGUAGGGUGCAAGCAUUAUCCGGAGUGACUGGGCGUAAAGAGUUGCGUAGGUGGUUCUAUAAGCGAAUAGUGAAAUCUGGGGGCUCAACCUCACAGACUAUUAUUCGAACUGUAGAACUCGAGAAUGGUAGAGGUAACUGGAAUUUCUUGUGUAGGAGUGAAAUCCGUAGAUAUAAGAAGGAACACCAAUGGCGUAGGCAGGUUACUGGACCAUUUCUGACACUGAGGCACGAAAGCGUGGGGAGCGAACGGGAUUAGAUACCCCGGUAGUCCACGCCGUAAACGAUGGAUACUAGCUGUUGGAGGUAUCGACCCCUCCAGUAGCGAAGCUAACGCGUUAAGUAUCCCGCCUGUGGAGUACGGUCGCAAGACUAAAACAUAAAGGAAUUGACGGGGACCCGCACAAGCGGUGGAUCAUGUUCUUUAAUUCGAUGAUAAACGAUGAACCUUACCAGGGCUUGAAAUCCCGAGAAUUAAUCCGAAAGGAUUGAGUGCUUUAUUGAACUCGGUGACAGGUGUUGCAUGGCCGUCGUCAGCUCGUGUCGUGAGAUGUUUGGUUAAGUCCAUUAACGAGCGCAACCCUUAUCAAUAGUUGGAUUUUUCUAUUGAGACUGCCCCGGCAACGGGGAGGAAGGAGGGGAUGAUGUCAGGUCAGUAUUACCCUUACGUCCUGGGCUAGAAACGUGAUACAAUGGCCGGUACAAUGCGCAGCGAAGCCGCGAGGUGAAGCAAAUCGCAUCAAAACCGGUCCCAGUUCGGAUUGGAGGCUGAAACUCGCCUCCAUGAAGUCGGAAUCG